rnacentral:lncRNA from 1 species
CACCACAGCUCACAGCAACACUGGAUCCUUAACCCACUGAAUGAAGCCAGGGAUCAAACCCAAGUCCUCAUGGAUACUAGUUGGGUUCGUUACCUGGGCCAUGACGGGAACUCCCAAAAUGCCUUAAUUUUUUCAGCUUUGUUUAUUUAGAGUAGUAGAUCACAAGGACUCUACUCUCCAUCCUUGGAUGCUGUUUAAAGUCACUUUUUAUACCAGGGGCAUUAAGUGCUGAAAGCAGUCUUGAUUUCCGUUCAAGUGGUUUGUUGGUAGCUCUGAAUUUUAACUUCCGGUCUGGACCUUAAGGCAAAGCAGAAUGAGUGGAGUAGCAGGCUGGGAUCCAUGGCCUUGGAUUCUGGUUCUAGCUUUGUAACCAACACCGAGUUUCUGAUCACUUAGCUUCUCUGAUAAUCCAUAGAAUAGAUUAAUUAGUUCUCCAUUUCCUCAUUGAGCUUUUAUAAAGAUAAAAGAAGGUAAUUAAGUCUGCAGACACUUCUCUGUAACUCUUUAGCACUGAGAAUUUUCUUAUGUUAGAGCGCUUCUCACAGUAUUUUGAAGUUGCCACUUCACUCAUGGCUUCUCCUUUGUACUUUAGAUCCCUGAGCAUCUGUCCUGUUUACCAUUUGUUUUUAGCCCAUGGUGCCUCUGAAUAUUUGUGGAAUGCUUGUGAAUGUUUUAUCAUGAAUCUUGGUUUGGGUUUGAGAACUGAUUUUAUUUACACCUUUAGUUCACACAAGUCAUGAUGUUUCCUAUGUAAAUUGAGUUGAAAAUGUUCUCAGUGGAAACCAUAGACUCUGUUCUUAGGGCACUAGUAGUGUCUGCUAGACCUGUCAGCCCUGGUCAGUCUUGCUUCGGCAGCUGAGCAUAAGCUGGGUGCCCUUCCGUGCAUGCCACUGAUGGCGUGUGACUGAAGUAACAGUUGCCGGAUGUAAUGUGCUUUUUUCCCCUUUUGAUAGGUGCUGCCAUGCUUAUUGAGUCCCUUCUCUCUCCUCCUCUAUCAUCUUCCAUCAGUGACUGUCACCAGCCUUCUGCAACAGCUAAUGAACCUACCUCAGAGUGCAGCCGCGCCAGCACCUGCCAGCCCCCACCUCACUGCUGUGCUCCAGAACAAGUUUGGCCUGUCACUGCUCCUCGUCAUCCUGAGCCGUGGGGAGGACCUACAGAGUUCAGACCCCGCUUCAGAAUCCACGCAAAACAGCCAGUGGUCAGUCUGGGCUACGUUUCUUCUUUUAUUUUAAGUUCUUGUAGGUACUUUUUCAUUCUUUUUCUUACAUUGUUAUUACCGGUUUUCCCUGUCAGGACGGAGGUGAUGUUCAUGCAACCCGAGAACUUCUGCGGAUUCCCAGGCAGCCCUGGCCAAGCCGAUCUCUAUACCCACAAACCUAGUAUCCCUCUUUUCUCGUUAUGUUGACCGACAGAAACUGAACUUGCUGGAGACAAAACUGCAGUAAGUUUGAAACAGGAAAGUUCCACAUCUCCCUGAAGUUGGCCCUUGAGAAGUUAUGUUGAGGAGGUCGGGGGGCGUGAAACUGAAUUUGGGGGAAGAGCUUAAAGACUUACAGCAAAUACGUGAGUGUCGACUAGCUAUAGAACACUGUACUGGGUACAGCAGAACCCUCAUCGGUGAAUAAAUGCGAAGGGUAGAAGUGUCUUAGGUAUUUU